ACUACAUCUCUCACUAGUAAAGAGCUUUACAUUCUCAGCAACUUAACACUACAAAGUACAAACUUGGAAUAUCUAAAGGCCUAAUUGUGUAGAUCAGAGAUUGCCCUAGGCUGAUUUUAGUAAAAGGUACGAUUAUAAGUGCUGGUUUAUAUAAAUCUGAAUAUAAAAACAAUGGCAACAACAAAAAAAAAAUGGAAGCGCAUCCUCACAGGGGUCUGUGACCAUCAAAGUAGGUUUUUGAAAAUCUUAAUCUAACUCACUUCCCAUACCAGUUGAUAAAUCUUUGAAGUAUCUAGGACACGCAUUUGUUCCACAUUCUCAGGUGGCAACCCAUCUCAAUGAUAUCAAUAGUUCUUCAUCCUUAAACUUCUGUCAUUCUUACAGACAUGGUUCUUCGAUUACAGGUGGCACUAGCCACUGUAAAGCAAAUCUAAAAUCCAAAACCAGAUUUUAUUUUAGAAAAGCAAAUCUAUAUGAUUUUCCAUUUUCCAUCACUUCAUGCCUCUUGAGAUUCACAUCCAACAGACCAGAGAAUCACAUGGUGCCAGAAGUUAAAAUGCUUCAGUCAUUCUUCCCUUCCUUUCAAGAUGUGCUAUUAUAUCACUUGACUUAAGUAGUCUUCCAAACUUGGGGGCUGAUAAAAUAUGCAGAACGGUUGCAUUUGGCUGUUAUACUAGAUAGCAAAUUCGAAAUAUUCAACAUCCAAUUUAACUAGGUUGUUAAAAAGCUUAAUAACUAGCUGCAGGAGCUAAAGAUUAAAGAUCAAAUGACUGCUUAAUGCCCUCAAGACUAAAAGACAGCUGCUUGCACAUUUAUUUUCUGAUAUUUUAUGACUUACUAAUGGUAGAGAGUAAUAUCCAGGGCUUUGAAACUAGUCCAGAAAAGUACAAACAACAAAAACAUCCACAACUUUAGAUGAGCAAAUAAAAGAAAAAACCUACUUGUUCAAAGGUACAUGCUCAAAU
rnacentral:misc_RNA from 1 species